rnacentral:misc_RNA from 1 species
AUUUUUAAUUUUAUUUUUUUUUCUUUUGGAGAUGGGGCUUGUUUGGUAUACGAAUGAGGAAAUGCUCUUAAUGGGUAUUGAUUGUUGUCAUAAACUCUUUUUUUAAAAAAAUUAUUUUUUCAUUUUUUUUCUCUUGUGUUUCUAUAUACUACAGCUUAUAGUAAACUGAAUUUGUCUGUCAAUAAUUCAAUUUAAACAUACUGUUGGCACUAUACUAUCUGUUUUGAUUUUG